AUUACGGUGCCAGAAACGGACUUGUAAUAUUGCAGACAUCCAUUGGGAGCUAAACCGAAGGCAAAAAACGAAUUCGCAAGUUUUCUUCACCGUCGAUCGAACGCAUAAUCCGCGUUAGUAUCGACGGAUAUUGUGAUCGGCGUUGCACCAUUGAAGUCGACGUACACUGAAAAAAA